GGGGGGGCGGCUAUCAUGCAGUCGACGACUCUGGUAUUGAUUGGUGCUUGCAUCAUGAUUUACAUUUGAGUGAGUGGCGAACUGGUGAGUAACACGUGGGAAACCUGCCCAGAAGCGGGGGAUAACACCUGGAAACAGAUGCUAAUACCGCAUAACAACUUGGACCGCAUGGUCCGAGCUUGAAAGAUGGCUUCGGCUAUCACUUUUGGAUGGUCCCGCGGCGUAUUAGCUAGAUGGUGGGGUAACGGCUCACCAUGGCAAUGAUACGUAGCCGACCUGAGAGGGUAAUCGGCCACAUUGGGACUGAGACACGGCCCAAACUCCUACGGGAGGCAGCAGUAGGGAAUCUUCCACAAUGGACGAAAGUCUGAUGGAGCAACGCCGCGUGAGUGAAGAAGGGUUUCGGCUCGUAAAACUCUGUUGUUAAAGAAGAACAUAUCUGAGAGUAACUGUUCAGGUAUUGACGGUAUUUAACCAGAAAGCCACGGCUAACUACGUGCCAGCAGCCGCGGUAAUACGUAGGUGGCAAGCGUUGUCCGGAUUUAUUGGGCGUAAAGCGAGCGCAGGCGGUUUUUUAAGUCUGAUGUGAAAGCCUUCGGCUCAACCGAAGAAGUGCAUCGGAAACUGGGAAACUUGAGUGCAGAAGAGGACAGUGGAACUCCAUGUGUAGCGGUGAAAUGCGUAGAUAUAUGGAAGAACACCAGUGGCGAAGGCGGCUGUCUGGUCUGUAACUGACGCUGAGGCUCGAAAGUAUGGGUAGCAAACAGGAUUAGAUACCCUGGUAGUCCAUACCGUAAACGAUGAAUGCUAAGUGUUGGAGGGUUUCCGCCCUUCAGUGCUGCAGCUAACGCAUUAAGCAUUCCGCCUGGGGAGUACGGCCGCAAGGCUGAAACUCAAAGGAAUUGACGGGGGCCCGCACAAGCGGUGGAGCAUGUGGUUUAAUUCGAAGCUACGCGAAGAAACCUUACCAGGUCUUGACAUACUAUGCAAAUCUAAGAGAUUAGACGUUCCCUUUCGGGGACAUGGAUACAGGUGGGUGCAUGGUUGUCGUCAGCUCGUGUCGUGAGAUGUUGGGAUAAGUCCCGCACGAGCGCAACCCCUUAUUAUCAGCUGCAGCAUCGUUGGGCACUCUGUGAGACUGGCGAUGAACAACCGGAGAAGCUGGAAUGACGUCAAUUCAUCAUGCCCAUUAAUGGACCUGGGGCUUAGA
rnacentral:rRNA from 1 species